UUUGUGUGUGUUUUUUUUAAACCUAAUAACUUUAUAAACAAAAGUCUUUUUGGCUAUAUACCAAUAUUCAGUAUGAAGUCAUUAGCGUUUAAAUUGACAUUUCCAAAGAUCUAGAUACCUAUCUUGUUUUGCAAGGAACACAUCUGCCAUGAAAAACUUUGUAAUUUUGCUUAUUCUAUUUUUACUUUUGGCAAUACUACAUUUUAAU
rnacentral:lncRNA from 1 species